GAUGAAGAACGUAUCGAAACGCGAUAAGUAAUGUGAAUUGCAGAAUCCAGUGAAUCAUCGAAUCUUUGAACGCACAUUGCGCCCGCCAGCAUUCUGGCGGGCAUGCCUGUUCGAGCGUCAUUUCAACCCUCGACCUCCCCUUGGGGAGGUCGGCGUUGGGGACCGGCAGCACACCGCCGGCCCUGAAAUGGAGUGGCGGCCCGUCCGCGGCGACCUCUGCGCAGUAAUACAGCUCGCACCGGGACCCCGACGCGGCCACGCCGUAAAACACCCAACUUCUGAACGUUGACCUCGAAUCAGGUAGGACUACCCGCUGAACUUAAGCAUAUCAAUAAGCGGAGGA
rnacentral:misc_RNA from 1 species